rnacentral:rRNA from 1 species
UACGUAGGGGGCUAGCGUUGUCCGGAUUUAUUGGGCGUAAAGAGCGUGUAGGCGGCCUGGUAGGUCUGCUGUGAAAUCCCGGGGCUCAACCUCGGAACUGCCUUUGAUACUGCGAAUCUCGAGUCCGGAAGAGGUGAGUGGAAUUCCUAGUGUAGAGGUGAAAUUCGUAGAUAUUAGGAAGAACACCAGUGGCGAAGGCGGCUCACUGGUCCGGUACUGACGCUGAGGUGCGAAAGCGUGGGGAGCAAACAGG